rnacentral:rRNA from 1 species
UAGUCAUAUGCUUGUCUCAAAGAUUAAGCCAUGCAUGUCUAAGUCCAAGCUGUGUUCACACGGCGAGACCGCGGACGGCUCAUUAAAUCAGUCGUGGUCCAAAUGGGCCAGUGCAAAUCCUACUUGGAUAACUGUGGUAAUUCCAGAGCUAAUACAUGCAACUGAUAUCCCGAAGGCGGUGUUGGGGCUUGCUUGCCUUGCGCUGCGCUGCUCUGACGGAUGCUUUUAUUAGACCAAGCCGCUGAGGACUUGAGGGUUCGCGCUCUCUUGUUUGACUCGUGUGAUGGUGACUCUGGAUAACCAAAUUCUGACAAGCGCACGUACUUCUCUUCUGAGCGAGACGGCGCUGCCACUUUCGAGUGUCUGCCUUAUCAGCUAUCAACCGUUCGUUAUGCGCGACCGAUGGCUUUGACGGGUAACGGGGAAUCAGGGUUCGAUUCCGGAGAGGCAGCCUGAGAGACGGCUACCACGUCCAAGGACGGCAGCAGGCACGCAAAUUACCCAAUCCCAGCAAAUGGGGGAGGUAGUGACGAAAUCUAACGAUGCGGGCGCCCUUUCUGGGGCCCCGCAAUCGGAAUGGGCACUUUCUAAACAACCUGUUGAGAACCUACUGAA